rnacentral:tRNA from 1 species
AGGCGCGUAGCUCAGUGGUUAGAGCGCCUGCUUGACACGCAGGAGGUCAGUGGUUCGACUCCACCCGCGCCUACCA